rnacentral:rRNA from 1 species
UACGGGGGGGGCAAGCGUUGUUCGGAAUUACUGGGCGUAAAGGGCUCGUAGGCGGCGCGGUAAGUCGGGUGUGAAAUCUCGGAGCUUAACUCCGAAACUGCAUUCGAUACUGCCGUGCUUGAGGACUGGAGGGGAGACUGGAAUUUACGGUGUAGCGGUGAAAUGCGUAGAUAUCGUAAGGAAGACCAGUGGCGAAGGCGGGUCUCUGGACAGUUCCUGACGCUGAGGCACGAAGGCCAGGGGAGCAAACGGG